GACUAAGCGUACACGGUGGAUGCCCUGGCAGUCAGAGGCGAUGAAGGACGUGCUAAUCUGCGAUAAGCGUCGGUAAGGUGAUAUGAACCGUUAUAACCGGCGAUUUCCGAAUGGGGAAACCCAGUGUGUUUCGACACACUAUCAUUAACUGAAUCCAUAGGUUAAUGAGGCGAACCGGGGGAACUGAAACAUCUAAGUACCCCGAGGAAAAGAAAUCAACCGAGAUUCCCCCAGUAGCGGCGAGCGAACGGGGAGCAGCCCAGAGCCUGAAUCAGUGUGUGUGUUAGUGGAAGCGUCUGGAAAGGCGUGCGAUACAGGGUGACAGCCCCGUACACAAAAAUACACAUACUGUGAGCUCGAUGAGUAGGGCGGGACACGUGGUAUCCUGUCUGAAUAUGGGGGGACCAUCCUCCAAGGCUAAAUACUCCUGACUGACCGAUAGUGAACCAGUACCGUGAGGGAAAGGCGAAAAGAACCCCGGCGAGGGGAGUGAAAAAGAACCUGAAACCGUGUACGUACAAGCAGUGGGAGCACGCUUAGGCGUGUGACUGCGUACCUUUUGUAUAAUGGGUCAGCGACUUAUAUUCUGUAGCAAGGUUAACCGAAUAGGGGAGCCGAAGGGAAACCGAGUCUUAACUGGGCGUUAAGUUGCAGGGUAUAGACCCGAAACCCGGUGAUCUAGCCAUGGGCAGGUUGAAGGUUGGGUAACACUAACUGGAGGACCGAACCGACUAAUGUUGAAAAAUUAGCGGAUGACUUGUGGCUGGGGGUGAAAGGCCAAUCAAACCGGGAGAUAGCUGGUUCUCCCCGAAAGCUAUUUAGGUAGCGCCUCGUGAAUUCAUCUCCGGGGGUAGAGCACUGUUUCGGCAAGGGGGUCAUCCCGACUUACCAACCCGAUGCAAACUGCGAAUACCGGAGAAUGUUAUCACGGGAGACACACGGCGGGUGCUAACGUCCGUCGUGAAGAGGGAAACAACCCAGACCGCCAGCUAAGGUCCCAAAGUCAUGGUUAAGUGGGAAACGAUGUGGGAAGGCCCAGACAGCCAGGAUGUUGGCUUAGAAGCAGCCAUCAUUUAAAGAAAGCGUAAUAGCUCACUGGUCGAGUCGGCCUGCGCGGAAGAUGUAACGGGGCUAAACCAUGCACCGAAGCUGCGGCAGCGACGCUGAUGCGUUGUUGGGUAGGGGAGCGUUCUGUAAGCCUGUGAAGGUGUACUGUGAGGUAUGCUGGAGGUAUCAGAAGUGCGAAUGCUGACAUAAGUAACGAUAAAGCGGGUGAAAAGCCCGCUCGCCGGAAGACCAAGGGUUCCUGUCCAACGUUAAUCGGGGCAGGGUGAGUCGACCCCUAAGGCGAGGCCGAAAGGCGUAGUCGAUGGGAAACAGGUUAAUAUUCCUGUACUUGGUGUUACUGCGAAGGGGGGACGGAGAAGGCUAUGUUGGCCGGGCGACGGUUGUCCCGGUUUAAGCGUGUAGGCUGGUUUUCCAGGCAAAUCCGGAAAAUCAAGGCUGAGGCGUGAUGACGAGGCACUACGGUGCUGAAGCAACAAAUGCCCUGCUUCCAGGAAAAGCCUCUAAGCAUCAGGUAACAUCAAAUCGUACCCCAAACCGACACAGGUGGUCAGGUAGAGAAUACCAAGGCGCUUGAGAGAACUCGGGUGAAGGAACUAGGCAAAAUGGUGCCGUAACUUCGGGAGAAGGCACGCUGAUAUGUAGGUGAAGUCCCUCGCGGAUGGAGCUGAAAUCAGUCGAAGAUACCAGCUGGCUGCAACUGUUUAUUAAAAACACAGCACUGUGCAAACACGAAAGUGGACGUAUACGGUGUGACGCCUGCCCGGUGCCGGAAGGUUAAUUGAUGGGGUCAGCGCAAGCGAAGCUCUUGAUCGAAGCCCCGGUAAACGGCGGCCGUAACUAUAACGGUCCUAAGGUAGCGAAAUUCCUUGUCGGGUAAGUUCCGACCUGCACGAAUGGCGUAAUGAUGGCCAGGCUGUCUCCACCCGAGACUCAGUGAAAUUGAACUCGCUGUGAAGAUGCAGUGUACCCGCGGCAAGACGGAAAGACCCCGUGAACCUUUACUAUAGCUUGACACUGAACAUUGAGCCUUGAUGUGUAGGAUAGGUGGGAGGCUUUGAAGUGUGGACGCCAGUCUGCAUGGAGCCGACCUUGAAAUACCACCCUUUAAUGUUUGAUGUUCUAACGUGGACCCGUGAUCCGGGUUGCGGACAGUGUCUGGUGGGUAGUUUGACUGGGGCGGUCUCCUCCUAAAGAGUAACGGAGGAGCACGAAGGUUGGCUAAUCCUGGUCGGACAUCAGGAGGUUAGUGCAAUGGCAUAAGCCAGCUUGACUGCGAGCGUGACGGCGCGAGCAGGUGCGAAAGCAGGUCAUAGUGAUCCGGUGGUUCUGAAUGGAAGGGCCAUCGCUCAACGGAUAAAAGGUACUCCGGGGAUAACAGGCUGAUACCGCCCAAGAGUUCAUAUCGACGGCGGUGUUUGGCACCUCGAUGUCGGCUCAUCACAUCCUGGGGCUGAAGUAGGUCCCAAGGGUAUGGCUGUUCGCCAUUUAAAGUGGUACGCGAGCUGGGUUUAGAACGUCGUGAGACAGUUCGGUCCCUAUCUGCCGUGGGCGCUGGAGAACUGAGGGGGGCUGCUCCUAGUACGAGAGGACCGGAGUGGACGCAUCACUGGUGUUCGGGUUGUCAUGCCAAUGGCACUGCCCGGUAGCUAAAUGCGGAAGAGAUAAGUGCUGAAAGCAUCUAAGCACGAAACUUGCCCCGAGAUGAGUUCUCCCUGACUCCUUGAGAGUCCUGAAGGAACGUUGAAGACGACGACGUUGAUAGGCCGGGUGUGUAAGCGCAGCGAUGCGUUGAGCUAACCGGUACUAAUGAACCGUGAGGCUUAACCUUACAACGCCGAAG
rnacentral:rRNA from 1 species